AGCGAACGCUGGCGGCAGGCCUAACACAUGCAAGUCGAACGAACCCUUCGGGGUUAGUGGCGGACGGGUGAGUAACACGUGGGAACGUGCCUUUAGGUUCGGAAUAACUCAGGGAAACUUGUGCUAAUACCGAAUGUGCCCUUCGGGGGAAAGAUUUAUCGCCUUUAGAGCGGCCCGCGUCUGAUUAGCUAGUUGGUGAGGUAAUGGCUCACCAAGGCUACGAUCAGUAGCUGGUCUGAGAGGAUGACCAGCCACAUUGGGACUGAGACACGGCCCAAACUCCUACGGGAGGCAGCAGUGGGGAAUCUUGCGCAAUGGGCGAAAGCUUGACGCAGCCAUGCCGCGUGGAUGAUGAAGGUCUUAGGAUUGUAAAAUCCUUUCACCGGUGAAGAUAAUGACUGUAGCCGGAGAAGAGGCCCCGGCUAACUCCGUGCCAGCCGCCGCAGUAAAAC
rnacentral:rRNA from 1 species